GAUUUUUCCCAGCAAAAUAUGCAUUUUAUGUAAUAAUAAUAAUUAAAAAUAAGAUCCUAGGUCAAGAGAUUGGAAAAUUCCAAAAGUGCAUAACAUUGUUUGACAAUUUCGUAACACAUCUUCCUGACACGUUACGCGUAUACACAUUUUAGCAUCGUUAAAGUGGAGCAGGAACAUUGUUGUGUACAUAAACUAUAAUGGAUGUUCUAUGCGUGUGGUUUAAGAGUAAUUUCACAAAGUUUGGUCUUAGGAUCAAUAUAAUCACAUAUAUUCAAUCUCUCUUAAAGAGCUAACGUGAAACCAUAUUUACUCUCACACGGUUCUGGAAAAUUAAACUAAAAAAAAAAAAUUACCAUCAUCUCAAAAGUUGGAAAGUUUAUGUUACAUAAAUAGAUACACAAAAUAAACGAGGUAAUCUUUUAUGGUUUGCAUUUAACAUAUUGAAGACAAAAGUGAACAGCUGCAACAACAACGUUUCAUAAAUUUAAUUAUAAUUUCCGCUAUACAUAGAUUAGUGAAUUUUGUGCAAAAUUUCAAUUAUAGUGACAAUUUUUUUUUUAUAUUUUUGAAAAAUUUAUAAAGAUAUACGUUAUGCAGAAGAUAAUUCCUCUCGACAUAAAUAAAUCACUGUCACUAAUGACAAAAAAUAGAACUACAAUAAGCAAAUGGGAUUGGUACACUGCGUGUUAAAUAAAUGGAUUUCGUAAAAAGUUUUUAAUUUCACAAAUUGUCCUUUAAGCUCUUAUUGUCAUUAUAUAAUUGUUCAAUGCGAUAGUUUCUUGCUUUCGAGAUUAUCCUUUUGAGAUGUAUUGGACAAUUGAAAGGAUCAUCAUUAUCACAGGAUAAAGGAUUAGGACAAGUAAUCCAAACAAAGAAAUGACAGUUAAUAAUUUCUCGGAAUUCAAAAUAUUGAAAAGUAUGGCAAAUUUCAAACGAUAAUCAUCAGUGGGUGAUGCAUUAACCUCAAGUAAUCAAGGCGUCAAAUUUUCAUCCAAAAUUAUAUCGUAACCGUAGAGCUCAAAGGAAUUGUUUUCCUGCAUCAUUACCGGUUGGACUGCUUGCAAGCUUGCCAUUAUAACGCCUACGCUGGAAAAGGAAAUUAAUGUUCAAGAGAAACAAAAUUUAUUGAUAAUGAGUGUUUUUGGAAUUUUUCAAAGAAAAAGAAAUUUUUAUUUAUAACAGAUAAUUAUUUUCGGCUUUUCGAAAUAAAAAAAAAAAAGGAAUUAUUUUGGAGUGUUAGUGCCAUUAAAAGGACCUUGAGAAAAGUUGCAAAUUCUUAUAUAAAUAAUAAAGGGUAAAGUUCUAAUCGA